GACGAACGCUGGCGGCGUGCCUAAUACAUGCAAGUAGAACGCAGUUUCGAACGGGUGAGUAACGCGUAGGUAACUGCCUCAUAGCGGGGGAUAACUAUUGGAAACGUUAGCUAAUACCUCAUACUGUGAGCUGGACCUGCGUUGUAUUAGCUAGUUGGUGAGGUAAAGGCUCACCAAGGCGCCUAUAAAUAGCCGACUUGAGAGGUGGGUCGGCCACAAUGGGACGGAGACACGGCACAGACUCCUACGGGAGGCAGCAGUAGGGAAUCUUCGGCAAGUGACGGAAGUCUGACCGAGCAACGCCGGGUGAGUGAAGAAGGUUUUCGGAUCGUAAAGCUCGGUUGUUAGAGAAGCGGUAACUAACGAGAAAGGGACGGCUAACUACGUGCCAGCAGCCGCGGUAAUUG
rnacentral:rRNA from 1 species